AACGAACGCUGGCGGCAUGCCUAACACAUGCAAGUCGAACGAGACCUUCGGGUCUAGUGGCGCACGGGUGCGUAACGCGUGGGAACCUGCCCUUAGGUUCGGAAUAACUCCCCGAAAGGGGUGCUAAUACCGGGUAAUGUCUUCGGACCAAAGAUUUAUCGCCUUUGGGUGGGCCCGCGUUGGAUUAGCUAGUUGGUAGGGUAAAAGCCUACCAAGGCGACGAUCCAUAGCUGGUCUGAGAGGAUGAUCAGCCACACUGGGACUGAGACACGGCCCAGACUCCUACGGGAGGCAGCAGUGGGGAAUAUUGGACAAUGGGCGAAAGCCUGAUCCAGCAAUGCCGCGUGAGUGAUGAAGGCCUUAGGGUUGUAAAGCUCUUUUACCCGGGAUGAUAAUGACAGUACCGGGAGAAUAAGCGCCGGCUAACUCCGUG
rnacentral:rRNA from 1 species